rnacentral:rRNA from 1 species
UGUCGGAUUAGCUAUUUGGUAGGGUAAUGGCCUUACCAAGCCCACGUUCCUUAGCUGUUCUGAGAGGUCGAUCAGCCACACUGGGACUGAGACCCGGCCCAGACUCUUACGGGAGGCAGCAGUGGGGAAUAUUGGACAAUGGGGGAAACCCUGAUCCAGCAAUGCCGCGUGUGUGAAGAACGCCUUCGGGUUGUAAAGCACUUUCGGUGGGGAAGAAAUUCCCAAGGCUAAUACCCUUGAGCGUUGACGUUACCCACAGAAGAAGCACUGGCUAACUCUGUGCCAGCAGCCGCGGUAAUACAGAGAGUGCAAGCGUUAAUCGGAAUCACUGGGCGUAAAGCGCGCGUAGGUGGAUAUUUAAGUCGGAUGUGAAAACCCUAGGCUUAACCUGGGAAUUGCAUCCGAUACUAGGUAUCUCGAGUAGUAUGAUAGAGGGAAGUGGAAUUUCCGGUGUAGCGGUGAAAUGCGUAGAUAUCGGAAAGAACACCAGUGGCGAAGGCGGCUUCCUGGAGCAAUACUGACACUGAGGCGCGAAAGCGUGGGGAGCAAACAGGAUUAGAGACCCUGGUAGUCCACGCCGUCAACGAUGAGAACUAGCUGUUGGAAAGUUUACUUUCUAGUAGCAAAGCUAACGCGUUAAGUUCUCCGCCUGGGGAGUACGGCCGCAAGGUUAAAACUCAAAGAAAUUGACGGGGGCCCGCACAAGCGGUGGAGCAUGUGGUUUAAUUCGAUGCAACGCGAAAAACCUUACCUACCCUUGACAUCCUCGGAACUUGUCAGAAAUGACUUGGUGCCUUUGGGAACCGAGUGACAGGUGCUGCAUGGCUGUCGUCAGCUCGUGUCGUGAGAUGUUGGGUUAAGUCCCGUAACGAGCGCAACCCUCGUCCUUAGUUGCCAGCGGUUCGGCCGGGAACUCUAAGGAAACUGCCGGUGAUAAACCGGAGGAAGGUGAGGAUGAUGUCAAGUCAUCAUGGCCCUUACGGGUAGGGCUACACACGUGCUACAAUGGGUAGUACAAAGGGUUGCUAAACCGCGAGGUAAAGCUAAUCCCAAAAAGCUGCUCGUAGUCCGGAUUGGAGUCUGCAACUCGACUCCAUGAAGCUGGAAUCGCUAGUAAUCGCGAAUCAGAAUGUCGCGGUGAAUACGUUCUCGGGCCUUGUACACACCGCCCGUCACACCAUGGGAGUG